GGGACACGUGGUAUCCUGUCUGAAUAUGGGGGGACCAUCCUCCAAGGCUAAAUACUCCUGACUGACCGAUAGUGAACCAGUACCGUGAGGGAAAGGCGAAAAGAACCCCGGCGAGGGGAGUGAAAAAGAACCUGAAACCGUGUACGUACAAGCAGUAGGAGCCCACUUGUUGGGUGACUGCGUACCUUUUGUAUAAUGGGUCAGCGACUUAUAUUCUGUAGCAAGGUUAACCGUAUAGGGGAGCCGCAGGGAAACCGAGUCUUAACUGGGCGUUAAGUUGCAGGGUAUAGACCCGAAACCCGGUGAUCUAGCCAUGGGCAGGUUGAAGGUUGGGUAACACUAACUGGAGGACCGAACCGACUAAUGUUGAAAAAUUAGCGGAUGACUUGUGGCUGGGGGUGAAAGGCCAAUCAAACCGGGAGAUAGCUGGUUCUCCCCGAAAGCUAUUUAGGUAGCGCCUCGUGAACUCAUCUUCGGGGGUAGAGCACUGUUUCGGCUAGGGGGUCAUCCCGACUUACCAACCCGAUGCAAACUACGAAUACCGAAGAAUGUUAUCACGGGAGACACACGGCGGGUGCUAACGUCCGUCGUGAAGAGGGAAACAACCCAGACCGCCAGCUAAGGUCCCAAAGUCAUGGUUAAGUGGGAAACGAUGUGGGAAGGCCCAGACAGCCAGGAUGUUGGCUUAGAAGCAGCCAUCAUUUAAAGAAAGCGUAAUAGCUCACUGGUCGAGUCGGCCUGCGCGGAAGAUGUAACGGGGCUAAACCAUG
rnacentral:rRNA from 1 species